AUGAACUAUUCCCCAGGCGUAGUGACUAUGGUAUUCCUACUGAUUGGCCAAGCCCGAGGAGACUCAGUAGCCUAGACGGAAGGCCAAGUGAUCCACUUGGAAAGGGAUUCCCUGACUAUGAACUGCACUUAUUCUGCCACAGGGUACCCCACUCUUUUCUGGUAUGUGCAGUCUCCUGGAGCAGGCCCACAGCUCCUCCUGAAAGCUGCAAAGGCCAAUGAGAAGGGAAGGAACAAAGGUUUUGGAGCCACGUACAAUAAAGAAGCCUCCUCCUUCCACUUGGAGAAAGCCUCAGUCCAAGAGCUGGAUUCGGCUGUGUACUACUGUGCUUUGAGUGACACAGUGACAGGAGCUGCAGGGGGAGCUGAGUGCAAACUCUGAACAGAACUUGGGGCUGGGUGCUGAGCGUGUCUGCCUGUUUGAUCCUCCCUGGUUCCAGCCCUGUCUGUGGUUGGUUUUCCUUCAGUCUCUGGUGGAUACAAAGAUCAUUCAAAUGGCCAGAACACAAGAACAUGGAAUGCACAUUCCCCACACCCAGGCCUUCACUGUUACAUGGAAACUCUGACAGUAACAGCUCCUCAUAAAGGGCAGAAGAGAUUUCAGGGUGCUGCCACACAGGAUUGGAGUGUCUCUUGCUUAUCUUUGCAG